rnacentral:rRNA from 1 species
CCUACGGGUGGCUGCAGUGAGGAAUAUUGCACAAUGGGCGCAAGCCUGAUGCAGCGACGCCGCGUGGGUGACGAAGGUCUUCGGAUCGUAAAGCCCUUUUCUGCGUGACGAGAGAGGACGGUAGCGCAGGAAUAAGUCUCGGCUAACUACGUGCCAGCAGCCGCGGUAAAACGUAGGAGACGAACGUUAUCCGGAGUUACUGGGCGUAAAGGGCGUGUAGGCGGUUGGCUAAGUCUGGCGUGAAAGCUCUCGGCUAAACCGAGAGAGGUCGUUGG